UUACGCUGAUUCCGAGAAAACUGACUCGUUUUCAGCUUUAAAUUUAAUUCGGAAUAUUUUUAUUCUGUUCUGUAGCAGUGGCAUAUAAGAUUUACGAAAUGGCAUUUAUCUCCACAAGAGGUGCUGAAAACAGUUGCAAUCAGGUAGCAUUAGAAACUGUUGCACACCAGGUGGCCGUAAAAUCGCGAGAGUCAGAACCGCUCAAACCAGCUAAUAAGAUUGGUUUUUCGCCUGGGAUUUUAAAGUUUUUGACGUCACCAUUAAGUACUUAAUGACGUCUCGUUUGUGAAGAAAUGUGUUUAUCUUAACAGCGGUUCCCCUUUGCAGUAUUCACGUUAUAACCAGCAAGCAGAAAAUUGAUACAUUUUCUUUCGUCAAAAAGCGUUUCCAUGAUGCACGUCUCGCAACCGACCAGCAGAAAAUGUUUUUUGAAUUUCAGUUCUUGCAAAUGGGUGAAUAGAAUUUGUUCCUUCUUGCCAUUUAGGAUGUUAAGCUGCUCAUCAUAAGAAAAAUGUGUCAGUAGCAAGACUUUUUGUCAAAAGGACAUUGUUGAGCCAAGUAGGACAAAAAAUAUUCUCAUUUCUUACUGGCUGCCAGCAAACUUUUACGUUGAUAAGCCUCUGAGCUUUGGGAUUAAUUCUGAAAAUCUGCAGUACCACAUUGUUCUUUGAUCAUUUCCUGGAAGUAGUUUUAACACAACUUUGUUUUUGUUGUAAUUGUUGUUGUUGUUACUCGUUUUCUUUAUUCUAUACAGUUGCUGAAAUGUAGGCAUGUUGCCGAUUCUACAGCUGAGAUACAGAUUGCAUCUAUGUCAAACUGGUCGUAUCAGCUUGCUCAUCAUUAACACACUUGAAGUCAAUAUUUAACUUUUCUACAUGGUUGAAGCUGCCACCCAAGAUAGUGCUGUCCUAGUGUGUUGCUAACAGCAUAAAGAUGAUUUCCUGUUACGAAUUCACGCCACCAAUUUCGGUUUGGUAAAUGAUAGACGUCUUCAGCGAUGGUCCACUGCUAUGGCGAUCACCUUAUUACACCCGGGAAAAGGACGUUUAAAAACUAACGCAUGACAACGUUCACAGUGCGAAUGUCUCCCAUACCUUUCCUCAUUCGUAAACAUGAAGUCGGUUUACUUGCAUUGACCUGACGGUGGUUACACCCACAUCGUAAGAAUUGCGCUUCAGGUCCAAUCGCUUUGUCAUGGAAAAGAUGAUUUAAUGGAAUGUCACCCGAAAUCAUGCUCACCUUUCAUUUUCGUUUCCGAAGAAGAAUUUUUCAAACGUUUAAACGGUGAAGGAUUGCCUUCUCAUUUGAUUUUUGAUGCAAGGUGACUUGCUGGUUAACUAACUGUUUAGAUUGUACGAAAGGACACUGGAACCCUUCCGUGUGACUUCACAUAAAAAGAAAUUAGAAAUUUUGACGUUCGAGUUUAGUUGAACGGUCGAGAUUUGUAUUCUGGAAUUCUUAUAAAUUCUUUCUUCUCUUCUCUAAUAUUGGAGAACAGGGGAUGUGUCAUUACACUGGAAGUAGGGUAAAGAUUCAAACUUGGAACCGUGUCUUCACCUAACGAACAUCUUGUUGGCCUGGCCAGUUUCGUAAAUUUUUCCUACAUAAACUUUAUUUUAAACUGAUUUCAUACUUAAUUGCUACCUAAAUUUCUAUUUUGUUUUAAAGGAUUUAAGUCAUAUCGGAAGGGAUUGCCUCUACCGCACAUGAUGCUCUUUUAAUGUAAAUUAUUGAGUGUUCAUUCAAUGUCGUGUUUGGAUUUCACUUAGAAAUCCAGGCAGAAGCUCUUCAAUUAUAAGACCAUAAAAGGAUUGCACACAUUAAUGUUUACAGUUACUUAUCAUUAUAAAUCCGAAAUGAGUUUAAGAAUGAGGACGGAUUUUUAAUUGAUGCUGGCGUUCGGAAACACGAUCAGAAAUACCUAUGAAAUGAAUAACAUUCGCUCGCGUUAUGGUAUUUGUUAUACAUAAAUUGAAGUGCAUAUCUGGGCUCCCUUCUUUUCUGUGGCCCCGUUUCCCCUUGACUCAUAAUAAGCCCGUAGGGGGUCACGCCCCUACUGUACGGUAUAUAUAAAAACAACAUAUAUCGAGGU
rnacentral:lncRNA from 1 species